GGUUUGUCUUGAUCAGUCAGCUUGCGGUCAUGGUCCACGCCGCUCUGUGUAUGUGUGACUGUUUUGGUGCUGCUGGCUGGCAAUCGCUCUCUUUUAGUGCUCUGUGUUCCUCCCCUCUGCACUCAUACGUUUCCUUCCUUUUUUCCUUUUUCUCCAGAGUGCGGCUCCGCUGAUUGGCCGGUGUCAUCAUAUGACACGGCUGCUUCAGCGCUAAGGAGUGUGGGAAUUGUAGGCAUCUCAGCGACCAUGUGACCUCUGAGAUCCAAUCGCGAUGCACCCGCCUCCCCAACAGGCUAUAUAUAGCAUGAUAUGAUCAUUAUCUGUCUGCUACCAACAGGGUACUGACAGAUGUCUUUAUUCCUCUUAAAGAUAGGAGAUUAUCUGUGGACUUUUCAGCUGCAAUUGACUGGUCCUUGAUUUUUGCUGCAAACGACUAUCCUUUGACUUUCUAUCACCAGCUGAUGUUUGCUUGCACUCAGACUGUUCAUCUAGUUAAAUACUCCAUAUGAAUUGAGGCUCUUCAGUGCCCAUGUUAUUGUCUUACUUAAUUCCCCUGUAUUCACCUUGAUUUUAUUACGCUUCAAGUCCUGUCAGUUGAACUUGGAUUUCAAUAUCCACCCUGAGGGGGUUUUUCCUUGACUGGCUGUGCAUGAAGCUAGGAGUAAUCUAGAGAGACGAUCUUGUCCUAAUUCCCCUGAAGAAGCCAAGAGGCGAAACUAGUAGGGUCGACCUGAUCGAAAAAAUUAUUUCUAGAUCUUGCUC